UCGCCCCACUGUACUUCAGCCUGGGUGACAGAGUGAGAUUCCAUCUAAACAAAAGAAUUGGUUUUUGCUAACUUCCUGAAUUCUUUUGUUGUUUUGUUAGUUCAUCACCUUGGGUUUUCCAGGUAUCCAGUCAUAUGAACUGCAAAUAGGAAUGGUUAACCUUCUCCUUCCAAUUUUAUACUCUGGUUUCUUUCUCUCACCUAUUUUUGUGGACUAGAUCCUUCACAUGGUGGUAGCUGGUGGCGGCUGUAGUAGACAUCUGUUAGGAAUGGCUCUGCUGUUACUCUGUUAAGCAGAGUAUGGCUCUGGAUUCAGAAAGGUAUGUUCAUGAAGAACCUGUACUUUCUAUUUUAUUUUGUGUUUUCUUUUUUAAAAAAUCAAGAAUCAUUAUUAAAUUUUGUCCGUUGCUUUUAAAAAAUCAUCUGUGGGGUGAUCAUAUGUUUUUUUCUUAGAUGUAUUAAUGUAAUGAAUUAUACAAAUGAAGUUGCUUCAUAAUGAAAGAUUCUUAAAUUCCUUGAUUGUGCUUCCCUCGGUCCGACACAUAAUUCUCUAAGCACUGAAUUGCCUGAUCUCUAGAGAGGGGUUGGGUUCCUCUGUGAAACUCUUGGGGCCUGGUGCUUUUUAGAAGAAAGUUCUUUUAUGAUUUUCUCUUCAUUAUUUUCCCUAUGGAAAUGAUUCUGUUUAAACUUUUCUGGGAUCAGUUUUGUAAAUAUUUUCCUAAACAAUUAUGAUUUUCUUCCGGUUGUAUUUGCCCCUUUAGGCGUCAGUGAAAUGAUCCCCUGUGACUCUUCCAGUACCUUUGGUUCCUGGGGCUCUUUCCGUCUCAGUCACUCCUCUUGUUUUUCUUGAUUGGGCUAGUGAAUAGUUCCCGUUUUGUUGUUACUUUUCUUCAAAGAUUCAGCUUUUGAAAUUUUAAAUUAAUUAUCUUUAUUUUUCUGCUUUUUAAACUCCCCGCUUCUUGCUAAUAAUUAACAAUCCCUUCUACUUUUCCUCAGUUUACUUAUCCUUUUUUCUAAAUGUUUGGUGUGAAUGCGUGAUUCAAUUUUAUCAUUCUAUUCACACUUAGUUUGUACUGAAGAGCUGAUGCCCAGGCUCUGUUGAGACACAGUUUCCUUAUCAUUGCUGUUCAGAAGUUCUGCCGUUUUGGUUUGUAUUUUCUUUUUGGUUCGAGAGUUUUUCAGGAGCAAGUUUUAAGAUUUCCAAGUAGCAAGUCUUUUGAUUUCCUGAUUUUGUUGUUAUUCCAGUUUCAGUUGCAUCUUGGUGAGAGAAUGUUCACUGCUCCCUCUUGAACUUUUGGGUUUCAGGAGGUUUCUUAUGUUCCUAAUGUGGAGUCAGUUUGCAUCACUCCUCCCCUACUGGGGCUUGAAGAGAAGCCCGGGUUUUUGUUUUGGGUCACAGAGGUUUGAUGUGUAUAUCAAGCACGUUUACCACCUUCAUCGUGUUAUUUAGGUCAUGUGUAACCCUUACGUAGUUUUCGUCUCUUCCUCUGUUGUGGACCAAGGGGAGUGAAUUAAUGUCUACCAUUGAUGCAUUGCUGUCUGUUUCUCCUGGCUCCUGUGCAUGUUGGCUGCCAUGUUACUUGUUGCAUAGCUAUUUAUAACGGUUACAUUUUUAUUCUGAAGUGCAUACAUUAGCAACAAAGUGCCCUUCUCUCUCUCAUUUCUACUUGUCUGACUGUAAGAUCAUGACUAGCGCUUUCUUGAGUUUGGACCUGCUUGGCAUACCUUUGCCCAUUACAAAAUUUUAACCAUAUCGAAUUAUUUUAAAUGUGUCUCUUAUACGACAUGAAGUUAGAUUUUGCUUUGUGAUUCAGUCACAGAAUCUUUUCUUUUUCUUGCCUAGUGCAGUAUACUAAUGUACAUUUAUUGGUAGGUCAGCUCCAUUUGUCAGACCUCAGUCCUGUCGUGCUUUGUGUGUGCAUGUGUUGUUAAGUCUUUUACUCUGUGGUCCAUUUUCUUUUCGUUUUAAAAAUUUUAAAAGAGUUCUUCUUAUAUUUAAGAGAGUCUAUACUUUUGUCUCUAUGUUACAGUAUCUCACGUAAUUUGUAAAUGCCUCUAGUACUCCGUGUUGAGAGGGACCGUAUAUUAAGUAGCUUUGGUGGUAGGCAGAAUAAUGUUCCCCCAUUCACCCAGUUAGCCACACUCUAAUCCCUAGCACCCAUGAGCCUGUUAUGUUACGUGGCAGAAGGGUCUUUGCAGAUGUGAUUGAAGGAUAUGGAUCUCAAUGUAGAUUGAUUGUCCUGAAUUACCUGGGGAGGCUGAAUAUAAUUAUCUGAGUCCUGAAAAGCAGAGAACAUUCUCCAGCAGGAAAUGAGAGCUGUGUAGUUAAGGGGAAUGUUAGAGAGGUCCCAAGAGUGAGGAGGAUUUGCUGAUCCCCAGAUGCAGGGACUCCAGGGGCCAAGGUGGGCCCCUGCCAGGAGGGAAACAGGGCCUCAGACCUGCAGCCACAGGGACCUGGAUUCUUCCCGAUAUCCAAGUGACUUUCCCAGUCUCCACGUAGGAACAUGGCCCAGCCGGACUUCUGACCUACAGAAGCUGUGAAAGAGCAAAUUUGUCUGUUUUAAGGUGCUACAUUGGCGGUAAUUUGAUGUGGCAGCAAUUGGAAAUUAGUACACCCUCUAUGAGUAAUUACAAAAUUAAUGUAUUUUGUUUUCUUCCUCCCAUCACCAAUUUCAGAUGACAGUGGUACCUUUCUCAGUGUUUGCCUUUAUACUAUUAAAUCUUCCUGUAUUUCUCUUACUGAGAUGUCAGCUUUAAAUGACAUCCUGUGCCUCCAGUUCUUACUAAUGAGGUGAGGGAGGGGCUGAUUGUUGUACCUCACUCCGCCUGGUCUCAUUUACCUCCCAGGUGUCCUCAGCUGAGUCAUCACUCGUAGUCAGGGCCUGUCUGCAUGCUGUUCUGUCACCGCAAGCUCACGUGUGCUUCAGGCUUAAAUCCAGUACUGGUAAACAUAUUCAUAGUUCAUGCUCACUGACAGCGCUUUGGAUGGCAUUUCCUGUCGGCUUUUGAUUGGCUGAGGUUUGUCUUGAAGGUGUUUUUUCAGAAUGGUGGGUGGGGACAGUCCCUAAGUGCUGCAUAUUCAAAGCUGUGGCUUCUUGGCUUGUGGGAGGGUUUGAAUGUUGCUGAAACCCUUGGUUUGGGCCCGUCCUUUCAGCGUCUUGGGGGUGUCACCUCAUUGUCUUUCGACCUUGAAUGUUGCUUCAGUGCAACCUGUGGUCUGGCUGGUUUUUCCUGCCUUUAUACGUUAUUCCCCAGCCUCCCUGCUCCCGUCCCUUCCCCUCCCCUGCC